rnacentral:rRNA from 1 species
AUUGAACGCUGGCGGCAUGCCUUACACAUGCAAGUCGAACGGCAGCACGGGAGCAAUCCUGGUGGCGAGUGGCGAACGGGUGAGUAAUAUAUCGGAACGUGCCCAGUCGUGGGGAUAACGUAGCGAAAGCUACGCUAAUACCGCAUACGAUCUAUGGAUGAAAGCGGGGGAUCGCAAGACCUCGCGCGAUUGGAGCGGCCGAUAUCAGAUUAGGUAGUUGGUGAGGUAAAGGCUCACCAAGCCGACGAUCUGUAGCUGGUCUGAGAGGACGACCAGCCACACUGGGACUGAGACACGGCCCAGACUCCUACGGGAGGCAGCAGUGAGGAAUAUUGGUCAAUGGGCGCAAGCCUGAACCAGCCAUGCCGCGUGCAGGAAGACGGUCCUAUGGAUUGUAAACUGCUUUUAUACAGGAAGAAACCCUCCCACGUGUGGGAGCUUGACGGUACUGUAGGAAUAAGGAUCGGCUAACUCCGU